AUGGUCGCAGAAGGAAUGGAGUUCCUACUGGAUGCGGUUGACAGGUUCCCGGUGCGGGAGGAGUUUGCUGACAGUCUUGACAACCCAGAUCCGGUCCCGCUCGCGUACCUUCUGGAGAAGGGCAGUGCAAAUCAGGAGUUUGGACGGGGAGAAGACCACUCUGGGAUUGCUGAUAUCCUGUGCGACGGUGUGCUAACUGACGCCCAAGGGGGUGCCCAUCAACGGCGUGUUGAGUCUCCGACGAGGUCGGCCCAAUCGACGGGCAGGGUUAAUCCAGAGGCCCCGGGCUGGACCAAAAGGCUUCGUCUUGGAAGUGCGCCACCUGACCGUAUGCCAUGUCCAUCAAGAAUGAGCGCUCUAGAGCUGUCGAUAAGGAAAUAUGCUGAGCAACCUGACAAGAGCGUGGUGCGACCUGAGCUAGGGCUUAGUUUCGAUUCGCUAGGAGAGGCGUAUGAUUUCUACAACUUAUAUUCAUGGGAAAUUGGAUUUGGGAUAAGAUAUGGAAAAAGCAGGCUGAACGCCGAGAGAACAAAAAGCAUGCAGGAGAUAGUAUGCGGUUGCUCGGUGAGUGUCUGUUUGCUUGUAUGUAUAAUAAGAAGCGGCAGUGUACUGGUUGGUGUUCCAACCUGA
rnacentral:rRNA from 1 species